CACGAAACGGUAGCCACAUCUCCACAAGUUAAAAAAAGUGGGAGAAAAUGAGCGGUCCGAAAGCUUUAUCCUUUCAACUCUCAUGCUCCGCACUCCGCAGUUUUCCUGCUUGCUCGAGCUGCUGCCCUGCUGCUCCAGUGCUCCACAACCAGCCGGAGUGAGAGAAGCCGUCAAACACCUCGCUCUGUCGCCGCUCACCGUCAAAUACGUCGCUGCAACGCCAUCUGCGACCUCCGUCCUUCGCGCCUCUGGAGCCGUGGAGUCUGGCGUGGGUAAAUCUGGAUUUUGAAGGUAGCCAUAACUCUUUUUGUUGUUGAUUUUUUUCCUUAAUCCUUUAACUGAAAUUAUAUUUUUUUGGUUGUCAUCGAGAUCUCAGUUUUAGAGGUAUCCAUAGCUUUAGCUCUGUUGACAUUGCUAACAGUUAUAAGUCUUACAUUUGUUCGUGUAGUCUACUGCAACAAAAAAAAAAGGUUUUUAUCUUCAUAGAUGCUUGACACAUGCAUCGUGUCUCAGAUCUGCUAAAAGUCUUUGUUCUUGUCUGUUGAGUCUGAUCUUUUGUAGUGUGAAACAUUUUAAUUAGGUGGUAAUAAGAUGAGUCAUUGUAGUAAGAGUAGUGGACAUUUUAUACCUUCACCGGAAGCAACAGAACAUUCUGGUCUUUAUUGUGGAAGAAGUCCCCGUAUAAUGACGGACAUUCCUUCGAAUGCUAAUACCAAUCUUUCCAGCAUAAGCUUUGUAAAAGGCGUAUGCAUCUUGCUCAGAGUAAAAUCGCAUUCCACCCUUUGGCAACAUGUCUUCUGGGCCGUUGUUCAUUUGAGAUGCACCAAUUUCUUCAUGAGAUCCUAUAUUAUUCACGAAAACAAGUGAUUUCAAGUUAGGAUGAACAUAAGCAUGUUGUAUUAUAAUAGAAUCUGACAGAUAGAAUCACUACUUUUGUUAAAAAAAAGACAUUAUUUGGUUGAGAAUCUUACCUUUUCCAAUUCUCUUGUUGAUUCUAGGUUAUCUUCAAAAGUUGAUACGCCCUGCCAGCUAUGUGACCCGCCAUCAGGAGCAAUGAAACUUACAGGAUCAAUCACGUCUCCACUCGUCAUAGCAGUAUUGAAUAUGGGAUCUAAAUAGAAAAUUAUUUUAUUGUUGUUGUAUCAUGUGCGCCUGCCGCCGCUAGUGAAUAAAAAUUUAUUGUUGUGAUUGGAGAAAUUGUGGCGGGAAUGACAUCUUGACAUGUUGUUUGGUGCUAACUUGCCGCCAGAUUUGUUUUUGGAAAAAAAAGUGUCGUGGCCAGAAUGGCUGGUGAACGUGUGUGGAGAGAGAAAGGAGGGAUGAUCCAGUAUCUAGCACCACGGGUGGAGAAGUGGGCAUGGUAUGUAUAGAGAGUUAAGUGGGUCGUGCUAAAUAGGCCGGCGCAGUCACAAUUCAUAUAUUGUCAGUGCUGAUAUAAUAUGGAUCUAGUAUCGUACUUGGUCCUCCAUUCAAUACGAUGAGCUGGCACGAUUAAGUGGUCGGCAUAAUUAGGCAUGGCUUAAACCACUGGUAGUCUGUAGAUGUGAUUGUGAUAUAUACUUGCGAUUGUGUAUUGUGAUUUAUUAUGGUUUUAAACACAAUAAUUCACUUUAUAAUGAUAUACAUGUUCAAGUUCUAAAAUUGUACAUAAAAUCUUAAAGAUCUUCUAUGUUUUUUUGGGCUCUCAAAAUAAAAUAGUGCUUGGGCUGACUCGUGCAUUAUUAGGUGUUAGUGUCGUAUAACGUCGACACAGCAUAAUUAGGCACUAUAGUAUAGUGUCUGGGACAAUGACUAGGCACUAGUAUCGACACGACACGAUUACUAAUAGUGCCUAACAAUGUCGUGCCUAAUAGUGGUAGUACCAGUGUCGUGUCGGGCGACCCGUUUAGCCAUCUAUAACGGGAGGAUAGAAACAGGAGGAGAGAAGACGCAUCCGCCACGUCAUCCAAAUUCCACCCAUACUUUUCUUCUUCACGUAACAAUUCCCCCUAAGGCUUUAUUCGGUUAUUCUAAUUCCAUGCUGAUUAGAAUGUAUUGGGAUGAAAUGUGACUUGCUAUAAAUUUAAAUCGACCCAAUACUAUUCAAUUCAUAUGGAUUAAAAGGGAAACGAACAAGCCUCUCUAUAUCCCACCCCAACCAUAAUAUUCUUUUCCAAACAUA
rnacentral:lncRNA from 1 species